rnacentral:lncRNA from 10 species
AGCACAAUAUUCGGGUCGGAGUGACCCGAUUUUCCAGGCUCUAAGACAAUGGAAAAUUAUAUGAGAACAAGGGGUCAUGAUUUCUAGAGUGUGGAAGGAACCAUCAUUUCAGAAUCCACUGUCAUCCUUGAAGAAGUCAGGCCCUCAUUCAAGAUCAUUUGUUAUCAGAGACUGCUGAAGAGAAGUACAUGUACUGGAACAAAUAAUCGACUGCUGUGACAGAGCUAGCCAAAGGAUGAUUUCCCUUCCACAAUGUGAAAUUGUUUCUAGGAAGGAGCUGUCCAGCAAGGGACUGACUAUCCCAGGAGCCUUGCAUCUAGGGACAUGCCAGAGAUGAUGAUGCUCCACAGCACCAGAGUUCAAGCAAAACAGAAUGGUUGAUAUUUUUAUGUCACAUUCCUGAAGUGAGAAACUGAUUGGUCCAGUUGGUCUAUGGUAAAACACAGUAUCAUGAACAUGGACAUAGAGUCUGUCACCCUGCCCACUGUGGCUUCAGGAGUAAGAGAAAGAGCUAAGGAAAUAAAGGAGAUAUGCUGACAUUUUGAUAGAGUGGAAAUCAAUACCUAUAUUUCCAGCAUUACCUACGGAGACAGAGAGUUUUCCAGGCUGGCAGGCUUUACUGCAACCUCUGAAGGUGUUAACAUGUUAAGAGAAAGACUAUGUGGACCAGAGGAAGCAGAACCUUACAGAAGCAAAGGGAAAAAGGCAGAUACAAAGGAGAUCGCAGGUCUGUGUUUCACAAGCACCUGGGAUGUUUGUUUGAAAUGUUGAUGACUGGCCCCACCUCCAUCCUAGUAAAUCAGAAUCUCUGGGAAUAGAGUCCACAAAUUUGAAUUUUAGCAAGCUUCUUGGAUCUUUUUUCAGCCCAUUAACUUGUGGAAAUAUUAAUUCAGAUGUGACUUUCCCCAGAGCUGCAGGGGGAAGGGCCUCACUGUGGAGAUGAGCAUGUCAGACUGAGUAAACCCUGAUGCCCUUUAAACUAUCAGAUCACAAGUCUUACUUUCCAUGUUUUGAUUUCAUAUUUACAGCAUACUCUCUGACAAUUUAGUUUCCAUGCAGCUCAACCUACUGGAGGAAAUUGUGCAGGUAAAGCUCAUAUGGAUUUUGAUCCUUUUUACGAUCCUUUUUAUGACGUUUUCAUUGCAAAUUUACCAAUUAUCAAUGGUUGUUCCAUUUAAUAAUGUCUCAUUAGCUUUUUUCCUGUGAAUUGAAACUCCAAGUCUGAUCAAUUAGCUAAUAAUUCUUGAGCUAUAUUGAGCUUGUGAACAUGCAGGGUUGGAGAUGGACCUUGGAUUACCACUGUGUGUGUCUUUCUUAUGGAGCAUUCCUGGCCUCCUGCUGACAUCUUUUCUACCCCACUUCCAACUGUCUCAUCUUCCUCAAAUGCUUAUAAUGAAUUUGUAGUGGCUUUAUCUGAAGAAAUCAAUACUCAUAAAACAUCUACCCAUGUUGUACUAUUUUAUAGAGUCGGGUUAAAAAAUGAUGCUCCUUAAUAAAUUCAAAGACAGAAUCUACCUUCUAUCUUUCCUGUAGGGGUAAGGCCCAGCUCUGAAAGAAUAAUGUUUAACUAGUGGUGAUUUUGCCUGGUGAUUUUAACCAGGAGACAUUUGACAAUGUCUGGUGAUACUUUUGGUCCUCACAACAGCAAGAUGCUAUUGGCAUCUAGUGGAAGAGGCCAGGGAUGCUGCUGAACAUCUUAAAAUGCACAAGACAUCUCCCUACAAAAAAAUUAUUGGAAUUAUUGGGUACAGUGGUAGAAGAGACUCCUCUGUACCUUCUGCUCGAAUUUUAUACUUCUCUAAAAAGUGAAAUCUAUUAAAAAUUAUCUAGCCCCAAAUGUCAAUAGUACCAAGGUUGAGAAACCCUGUCCUGAAGGAAGCCAUGAGAGUUCUUUACUAAUUCUGAACCUACUUUCAAUUUUUAUGACAAUGCUAGCUAUUGUAAAGGAGAACAAUUUUGUAUACAUAUGCUUCCAAAGUGAGUUCAAAUGUACAUUUCUUUUUUUUCAAAUCAGAAGAUGAUGCUAUACUUUAGUAACAUAUGCUGCACAACAUCACCCUCAAGAUGAAGCCAUUUAGCUAUACCACAAAUAUGAGCCAUGCUGAGGUGAGAAUGAAAUUCACUUUUAAAUGAACAUACUUAUGCCAACAGAGGUAAACUAAAUUAGAAGUAUGCGAUGAGAAAUUUGGUCUCAGAAUUUGGCUAUGAGGGAUGACCUACUUUGUGGGGGGUGGGGGGGCUCAUUUUUGAUUUCCAGAAUCUGUGUGUUUCCCUCAUUGCAUGAGUCUUCCAUACCCACACAUCUUGUGGGCCAUAUGGUGCUCUUUUGGAAUGACUUUCAUUUGAUUUUCUCCUUUUCAGAGAUUUUUUUUUUUUAAAUUUUCACUCUGUCAGAAAGCACAGAGGUCCUUGAGGAAGGGUCUUUUGUCAAAAUGCUCUUCUUAGUAGUAGUGACCUUUGAUGAUUCCACUAGGAUUCUUAGCAGAAUAAUAUAUCUUCUGAAAAAAAAAGCAAAAAACAAACAGACAAAAAAACCAGAAGUAUAGCCUACUGGUGAAGCUUAGAGAAGCAUUUUAUAUAACUUGUUUGGAGGAAGGAAGGAACCCACUCUUCAUUUGGGGUUAGGACUUCAUUAGUUUCCUCAUGGGGAAAAUUCACAGAUUUCUUUUAGGCAGGGGUUGUGUGAUGGGGAAAAUGGGCAAGCACAGAGGUGAGUUAGGGGUUAAGGAUGGGAGAAUACAAACGUCACUUACUGGGGAGUUACUCACUGCAAACCUCAGGGCCAUGGAAGAAAGGCACUUGACAAAAUCACGUGUGACCUGAGAUGUUCAGCAGUGAGGAAGAUGAGAGAAAAUGGCUCACUACUUCUUACAAGGACCAACCCAAAUACGGGGGGACUUCAAAAAAUACAUGGAAAAAUGGAAUUAAAAGACAAAAAUUGCCAACUUUAUUUUUCAACAUAAGCCCCAUCAAGUUCGGGACACUUCUGAAAGCUAUGAUACCAGUCAUUUAGUCCAUCCUUAAAGAAAUGAGAGUUGGGAAUGUAGCCAUGUCAAUGCCAUCUUUUUUUACAUUAGUAACUGAAGAAAAAUGGUGCCCUUUAAAGAUUAGUUAAAUAUUAGGAAACAAAAGAAGUUAGCAGAAUUUAAAUCAAGACUGUAAGGUGAAAGCCUAACGAUUUUCCAUCAAAACUUUCACAAAAUUGCCCUUGUUUGAUGAAAGGAAUGAGCAAGAGCAUUGUCAUGGAGGAGGCAGACUCUCUGGUGAAGCUUUCCCAGGUGUUUUUCUUCUAAAACUUUGGCUAACUUCCUUCAAACACACUCAUAAUAAGCAGAUGUUAUUGUUUUUGCGUCCCACCCCCUGCUCCUGGAAAGUCAACACACAAAAUGCCUUGAGCAUCCCCAAAACUGCCGUGAUCUUUGUUCUUGAUUAAUCCACUUUUGCUUUGACUGGACCUCUUCCACCUCUUGGUAGCCAUUGCUUUGAUUGUGCUUGUCUUUGGGAUCAUACUAGUAAAGCCUUGUCUAUCUCCUGUUACAAUUCUUCAAAGAAAUGCUUCAGGAUCUUGAUCCUACUUGUUUAAAAUUUCAAUUGAAAACUCUGAUCUUGUCUGUAGCUCAAGUGGGCACAACAUUUUUGGCACUUACCAAGUGGAAAGUUUGCUCUGCUUUAAUUUUUAGUUCACAGCUGUGUAAGCUGAAUAAGUUAAGAUGCCUAUGGUGUUGGGCUACUGUUUCUGCUGUUAAUUGCUGGUCCUUUUCAAUUGGGACACAAACAAGAUGAGUGUUUCCUUGCAAGUAUGUGUGGAUGGUAUGGCACUGUGAGCUUCAUCUUCAACAAUAUCUCAUUCCCUCUUGAAAUGAGUUAUUCACUUGUAAACUGCUGAUUUAUUUGGGACAUUUUCCCCAUAAACUUUCAUAAAGCAUUAUUUAUUUCAUCAUUCUUCCACGCAAGUUUUACCAUAAAUUGAUGUUCAUUCUUGCUUUAAUUUUAGCAGAGUUCAUGUUGCUCUGAUUGGGGCUCUCUUGAAACUCAUAUCUUAUCCUUCUUAGUGGCUCAAAUUAGAUGCUGUUGAGGCAUGUUAUAAAAAGUUAGUACAAGUAUAUUUUGGUGCAAAAAAUUUAAAAUCCAUGCAUUUUUUCAGAAUAUAUAUUUGUUUUCUGUAAACUUUUAAACUAUCUAUUAGUAUUGAAAAUGCCAACAGGACAGCAGGAGAGACUCACGAUUAAUUAAAUACAAUUAAGGAGUGGAACUUACUGUACCAAAACAGAACCUGCUCACUUCCCAGAAAGCCUGCCCAGACUUUUAGUUUUCCAUCCAUUGGUCUUCUUUAAAUGUAAUUUUUCAGCUUCAGUGUAACACUCAUUUGCAGAUGAAGCUGGGCUGAAGCACUCUGUUUUCUUCUGGCAGGAUAACACCUCUGUGUGGUCUGUUACAUUUGUUGUCUGCUUAAGACCUUUCCACCAUUGUAUCUGCUUACAAUUGGUGAAACUCCUGUUUGGUAAGUUGCUUCUCAGUAGAAAUGCAAUCAUAGCCAUUAUCUGUAGGAUGGCACCUUCUCUACUGUUUAGUGUUUUGGAUUAGUGGAAGAGCUUUCCCAGUUGAUAGUUUGCUAUCACCUACUCAAAGCCAGGCAGCCUUUUAGCCAAUUUCAACAUGCUGCUGCAGGCAAAGAGACACAAAUCUGAAAUCCAGGAAAAUUAAGAAGCCAUUUAAAAUCUCUUCUACAAUGGCUCACACCAGUGUCAAAAAGGGUUUACAUUCAUAUCACUGAGAAAAUAACUUUAAAACCUCUUUUCCCCUAUCUCUCUGAUUCUUUAUUCAGGCAUACAAGCUGUUGGGAAAUUUCUCUUCUCUAUCCUCCAAAACUCUAUAAACCCAGUCCAUGUUAGGUUGAGUACCUCCUACCAUCUUUCUGGAUCUUUUAAGCUGUCCAUCAAAUGCUGUUCUUCCGUUCUAAUCUAGAUUGGUCUAGCUUUCAAAGCAUUUUUCAGUUUUCCUUUCUAUCCAUUACAUGAACAACAAAACUGUCACGUGCCAGGCAAUGAGAAUUUGCUACUUUUGAAAGUUAUUUCAAAGAUAAAAGCUUAGCAAAUCCAUACUUUCCCCGCAAAAUCACAUGAACGUGCUCACAGUGACAAGGCACCCUGCACUCUGUUCUUUUUGAGGAGAAAAUGACAAUUAAUUCUCAUGUCAAAUUGUUAAAAGUAUGUCUACACAGGAUUAAUAUUUUGGUGGCCCAGAGCAGAAAAAUGCAUUUUAGCAAAUCGCCUAGAAAGAGUGAUUCCAUUCUAUGAAUAGGUUCUUGAAGUUCUUAUUGGUACUGACUGUCAAAGCUGUAGAGUUUCUUUCUUUCUUGAUGUCUUAAUGUAACUAAUUUCUAGACAGAAAGGAAGGCAUGUCCAGGCUUCUCUCAAAAAGGAUCAUCUUGUUAAUUCUUUCAUGAAUUAAUCCUGUGGGUGAUUAGCAAUUCAGGAGCAGGUGUUCAGUUGAGCCUCUGGAGGACCUAUGCCCUUUUCAACUCAGAGGAAGUCCUAGACUGGCUAGGAUUUUAGAGAUAAUGGCAGAACCAAGGGCUGAAAGCCUAUGAUGGGAGGCAUUCUGUCUCACCAACUGGUGAGAAGAACAGAGUGCCUUGCUACUAUUUGUGUGUGUGUAUGUUUGUGUGCCUGUGUCAUGUGUGUAUGUGUGUGUGUGUGUGUGUGUGUGUGUGUGUGUGUGUGUGUGUGUAUUUUGUAAAGUACAGCUUUGCUUACCCUUUUUUUUGGAUGGAGUUUUGCUUCUGUUGCCCAGGCUAGAGUGCAAAUGCGCGAUCUAGGCUCACUCUAAUCUCUGUUUCCCGGGCUUGAGUGAUUCUCCUGCCUCAGUCUCCCCAGUAGCUAGAAUUAUAGGCGUGCAUCACCACACCUGGCUAUUCUUUGUAUUUUUAGUAGAGACGGGGUUUCAGCAUGUUGACCAGGCUGGUCUCAAACUCCUGACCUCAGGUGAUUCGCCUGCUUCAGCCUCCCAAAGUGUUGGGAUUACAGGUGUGAGCCACUGUGCCUGGCCUGCUUACCCUUAUUAUUAAAAUCACAAAAUUUUAAAGUGCUAAAUUAAAUGAUACAUUUAGUACUGUAGGAGUUCAGGUAUCUGGGAGAUAAAAGCAAGUUGUGUUAGUUCUGGAGACAAAUCAGGCCUUGAAUGAGACAGGGAGAAGAACUAAAGACCUAAUCAUAAUCUCUUUUUUACAUACUUUCAAUUUUUAAAAUUUGAAUAAAAGUAUGCAAAUAUUAAAAAUGGGCCAGGCGCAGUGGCUCACACUUGUAAUCCCAGCACUUUGGGAGGCCUAGGUGGGCAGAUCACGAGGUUAGGAGGACUUCGAGACCAGCCUGGCCAACACAGUGAAAUCCCGUCUCUACUAAAAAUUCAAAAAUUAGUUGGGAAUGGUGGCAGACGCCUGUAAUCCCAGCUACUCAGGAGGCUGAGGCAGGAGAAUCGCUUGAACCUGGCAGACAGGGGUUGUAGUAAGCCGAGAUCA